rnacentral:tRNA from 1 species
GGAGAUGUAGCUCAGUGAUAGAGCACUUGCCUGGCAUGCAUGAGGCCUUGGAUUCAAUCCCAACACCA